ACCUACGGGGCGCAGCAGUAGGGAAUCUUCCACAAUGGACGAAAGUCUGAUGGAGCAACGCCGCGUGAGUGAAGAAGGGUUUCGGCUCGUAAAGCUCUGUUGGUAGUGAAGAAAGAUAGAGGUAGUAACUGGCCUUUAUUUGACGGUAAUUACUUAGAAAGUCACGGCUAACUACGUGCCAGCAGCCGCGGUAAUACGUAGGUGGCAAGCGUUGUCCGGAUUUAUUGGGCGUAAAGCGAGUGCAGGCGGUGUAAUAAGUCUGUUGUGUAAAGCUUUUGCCCAAACCGGGAAAUUCAU
rnacentral:rRNA from 1 species